rnacentral:rRNA from 1 species
GAGUGGACUAGCUAACUGAAAUCAAUUAAAAAUUGAUAACAUAAGGGAAAAUAAUGAUAUUACCUUAUUAUUAGUGUCGUCCAAAACUGGUGCCAGAAGACUCGGUAAGGCCAGAGACACAAACGUUAAUCGUCUUAAUCAGGCGUAAAGGGUUUGUAGGCGGCUUUAAAAUUUAUUUAAAAUAAUAUUAAGUAAAGAAUAAAAGCUAGAAUCAAAUAGAGGAUAUAUGAAAGAAUGCUUAGAGUAGGUCUGAUAUCCUUAGAUACUAAGUAGAAUAUUAAAGGCGAAAGCUUUUUUCCAUUAAUGAUUGACGCUCAGAAACGAAGGUGAGGAUAGGAAAUAGGAUUAGAUACCCAGAAUACCCCUCUCUGUCAACGAUGAAUGGUAGUUAUUAAUAAGAAUUAUUAAUGGCAAUGUUAACACGAUAACCAUUCCGCCUUGUGAGUACAACUGCAAAGUUGAAAACAAAAAAAUUAGUCGGUUUCGGAGCAAACGAAGUGAAGCAUGUUAUUUAAUAAAAAAAUAUCCCGCAAA